UUAACCGAAUAGGGGAGCCGGAGGGAAACCGAGUCUUAAUUGGGCGUUAAGUUGCAGGGUAUAGACCCGAAACCCGGUGAUCUAGCCAUGGGCAGGUUGAAGGUUGGGUAACACUAACUGGAGGACCGAACCGACUAAUGUUGAAAAAUUAGCGGAUGACCUGUGGCUGGGGGUGAAAGGCCAAUCAAACCGGGAGAUAGCUGGUUCUCCCCGAAAGCUAUUUAGGUAGCGCCUCGUGAAUUCAUCUCCGGGGGUAGAGCACUGUUUCGGCUAGGGGGCCAUCCCGGCUUACCAACCCGAUGCAAACUGCGAAUACCGGAGAAUGUUAUCACGGGAGACACACGGCGGGUGCUAACGUCCGUCGUGAAGAGGGAAACAACCCAGACCGCCAGCUAAGGUCCCAAAGUCAUGGUUAAGUGGGAAACGAUGUGGGAAGGCCCAGACAGCCAGGAUGUUGGCUUAGAAGCAGCCAUCAUUUAAAGAAAGCGUAAUAGCUCACUGGUCGAGUCGGCCUGCGCGGAAGAUGUAACGGGGCUAAACCAUGCACCGAAGCUGCGGCAGCGACGCUGAUGCGUUGUUGGGUAGGGGAGCGUUCUGUAAGCCUGUGAAGGUGGCCUGUGAGGGUUGCUGGAGGUAUCAGAAGUG
rnacentral:rRNA from 2 species